rfam:Daphnia pulex DAPPTscaffold_242_Cont7714, whole genome shotgun sequence.
GGGGUUGUAACUCAGUGGUAGAGUGUUCGCUGUGCAUGCGAGAAGCCCGGAGUUCAAUCCUCCGCAACUCCA